GUUAUAUCAGACAAAACAUCUUAGUAAAAAUUUAGGGCAUUUUAAUAAUAAGCCAACAGUUUUUGAGACUGUAGAGAUUUUGAGUAGAAUUUUUUUUAUGAGGUGGCUUUUUAAAAAAUAAUUGAAAAUGGGAAAAUGACCCAUAAAGUGAAUUCACCUAGAAUAUCCAUUUAAAUGUUCAGACUUGUGGCUGAGCGCGGUGGCUCACACCUGUAAUCCCAGCACUUUGGGAGGCCAAGGCAGGCGGAUCACCUGAGGUCAGGAGUUCGAGACCAGUCUGGCCAACAUGGCAAAACCUUGUCUCCACUAAAAAUACAAAAAUUAGCCGGGUGUGGUGGCACAUGCCUGUAAUCCCAGCCACUUGGGAGGCUGAGGCACGAGAAUCACUUGAACCUUGGAGGCAGAGCUUGCAGUGAGCCAAAAUUGUGCCACUUGCACUCCAGCCUGGGUGACAGAGGGAGACCCUGUCUCAAAAAAAUAAGUAAAAUAAAAUGUUCAGACUUAUAAACUAGACAGGUAGUCAGCAUAAUUCAUAGUAAUGCCUUGACAUUAGGCGCCCCAAAGGACUCCUUUGUUCUUUGUUCCAAAUGUCUGUGCUAACUGCCCAUUUUGAGGAGAGAAGUCUGCAGGUAUAGUUAGUGCUGCUGAGACAUUUCCACUCUGGCAUUCUAGAGUUCUCUGGCUUGCCCUUGUUGCUUUAAAGCUGGUUCCAACUUCGUGGGCUUUAUGAUUGAGCAACACUGGUGAUUGUGAUUUCUAAUACCACCCUCCAGAUUCAUGUCACAGGUGAAAGUCUGCCUGUGGGGAGAGCUUUCACAUUCUCCUGGAGUUGAACCAAAAUAAGGAAAACAUCAACAAACACAGUUACCAAAAGCUUCCAAGGAGGGAUGGAGGAGAAAUUCUGUUCAUUGCAGAUGGGGAGAAAUUAAAUGACAUCAAGUGCAUAAUGGAACUGGGUAGGAUUCAAACUCAAGUCCCCUGGUUCAAGUCCUUGACUCCACUCUGGGCAUGGCUAAGUCUGGCCUGUGUCUCAUCUUCUCAGCUCUAGUGGCUGUUUAGUAGUGAAGAUACUGAUAUGCAGGCAGCCAUGUUGUAAAUAAGAAGCAAAUAUUUUUAUAUUUCUCUCUCUUAUGUGUAUAAUAUUUGAGCUACAAACAGGUUAAAACAAAAGAGAGACUUCAGCUUAGUAGCAGGCAGGGAAGGAAGAAGUGAAUGCAGCUUCCUUCCGCUUACAUUUCUAAUCAAGCUAAUUAUUUCACUAGUGAUUUCUCAUUUGAUUACCGAUUUUGCUUAUUUAUGCUUAGAACUUUCAAUGACUUCUCAGUGCCAUUAAGGUAAAAUGCAAGCCAUUUCUGUGACCUGCAAUAUCAUCUUUUGCCACUCCUCCUCACUUGCUAUGUCUUAGCAAGACUGAGAGGCUCUCAGUUCUUCAGACCUGCUCUAUCUCACCUCUCAUUUUGUUCAUAUUCUCCACCUCUUGUGCUUGAUGAACUCCUAUUCACCUAUCAGGUCACAACUUAAAUAUUUUUUCCUCCAAAUCUCUGGACUACAUAGGUCCAGGCCCCCAUCAAAUGCUCCCAUAGCACAUUGGGCUUCCUCAUCAACAUGCUCGUUAUACUUUUCUAGAAUUGCUGGCUUGUCCUCCUUGUUAUCUCCCUAAUGCAGAGACCAUUACUCAUCAUUGUAGCAGAUAUUUAUCCAUAUCAGGUACUCAGCAAACAUUUGUGGAAUGAAUCUAUAUGUGAAACUAUACUUCUAUGGCAAGUUUGUUUGGUUCAGAAGGCUUGCAUUUCAUGUAUAUUGGGAGACUGGCCAACAUUUUUAUAUUCUUCCUCCUAUGCUCAAACCAUAAAUAAUUAUGUUAGCAAACACUGAACUUUGUCUUUUGAAACAUAAAUAGAAACAUCCUUAGUAACAGUACUAACAGUAAUCAUUUUUCAGAAAUAAGAAUUCACACCAGUGAUACAGAAUGGCCUUUGACCAUUAUCUCAGAGAACUAGCAGUCGAUAGACAUGCUGAAGUGAUAAUUCCAAAAACUUCAGUUUCAUUCAUCCCUACUUAAAUAUAAGAGAAUCAACUUCUAUUUUAUGUCUGUAUUCCCAUUUUCUAAUAUACUACUUGUCACAGAGGAGAUGCCCAACCAGUGUUUUUCGUAAAGUACCUGAAUAGAUUAAUAAUAAUGCUAGUGAAAUAUAUUUAGUGCUGUUCUAAGCACUUUACAUGAAUUAACUCAUUUAAUCCUCACCGCAACCAUAGGAAGUAGAUUCUAUUAUUUAUCCAAUUUUACAGAUGAAAAAACUGAGGCUGGUCACUUGACAUAAAUUACCAGUGCUGGCCAGGACUUUAGAGACCAUUUAAUCCAAUGCUCUUAUUUUACAGAGGUGCAGCUGAAGCCUAAGGAGGUGAUAUGAUUUCCUACACAUUCAUGCACCUUCGUGCACAUCCAUUAAAACUUUUAUUAAAUGGAACCCACUAUCCAUACUCCAAUUAGCUAGGUGCCUUUUUUCCCCCAUUUAGUAAUUUACAAUUAAUUGGAGGACUUUUUAUAGUUAUAUUUAGAGGAAAGGAGCAUGUUUUACUCUAUAUCAACUUUCUUUUCUGCUUAAAAGCAUUUUGAUUCUUUAUUUUACCAGUCAUUUUAGUUCUUUUAAUAGGUUUAAUACACAGAUCAAACAAGACUUAAAUACAUUUUUAACAAUGUAACAAUUUAAAAGAAAUUGCCUAAAACCUAGGUCUUCUAACUUGGAGCCCAGUGCUUUUUUUAUUGCUCCGCUGAGUCAAAAGGUGAAUAUAUAAACAUGAUUUCAGAUAGAAUGCAGAAGCUGUAUUUAAUUAAGUUGGCUUUUGUCAUUAAAGAAAUCAGAAAGUUUGGACAACUCAGGAAUGGAUUUCCAUCCUAGAUGGUAUUUACUACUAUUUCUGGAAUUAAGUUUACUGUCUAUAUUCAGGAUUUUGUGCAUAAGAGACGUGACCACUGAGGUUGUGUGUCAUUCUUAUCUCUACUCCAGGGGUCAGCAAACUUUCUCUGUUAAGGGUCAGAUAGUAGUUUUUUGGCUUUUCAGUCUCUGUUUGGCUCUGCUAUAAACAAUACAUAAAUGAAUGAGCAUGGCUAUGUUCCAAUAAAACUUAAUUGACACUGAACUUUGAAUUUCAUGUACUUUUCAAAUGUCACAAAUGUUUUCCUUUUGAUUUUUUUCAGAAAGCCAUUAAAAAAAUCCAAAGACCAUUCUUAGCUUGCAGGCUGCACAAAAACAGGAAGCAGGCGGGGUUUGCUUAUGGACUGUGGCUUUCCCACCCUUGUUCUUAGAUAGGGACACACCAAUAUAUCAUGAUUAGUUGUAAAGGAUACUGCCAGUAACAUAUUAUUACUGGUUAGUUGUAAGAAUAUCAAAGUUAGUGAAUAAUUUGCUUUUAAAAUAAAUUAUUGUUGAUUUAUUUUUAUAAAUAAAUGGCACAGGGCAUCUCAUGCUCUUGCAUUCUAAUAUAUUUUCUGGAAUUGAUGCAAAAGUGGUGGCAGUAAAGUACAGAGCCGGCUAAGCAGCAGUUUUGUCUUAAGUAACUGUGGUGAUCAUGGACAACCAUUGCGCUGAACUGCUCUUCAUGGUAAGGAUUUCAGUGUUUCAGAGUAAUUCAUUAACCUAGAGAUGUUUUAAAAAGUUGUAUCGGCCGGGCGCGGUGGCUCAAGCCUGUAAUCCCAGCACUUCGGGAGGCCGAGGUGGGCGGAUCACGAGAUCAGGAGAUCGAGACCAUCCUGGCUGACACGGUGAAACCCCAUCUCUACUAAAAAUACAAAAAAAAUUAGCUGGGCGUGGUGGCGGGAGCCUGUAGUCCCAGCUACUCAGGAGGCUGAGGCAAGAGAAUGGCGUGAACCCGGGAGGUGGAGCUUUCAAUGAGCCGAGAUUGCCCCUCUGCACUCCAGCCUGGGUAACAGAGCAAGACUCCGUCUAAAAAAUAAAUAAAUAAAAUAAAAUAAAAUAAAAUAAAAGUUGUAUCAAAAUCUGCUGCACCAUGGGAGUGUUUUACACAUGUGAUGUGGCAUCUACCUUAUGUACCAUAAUGGAAAAAUGUUUGAGAACCACUGCACUAGGCCAAAGGCUGGGAUGUGUAUACUUUGCUGCCGUGUAUAAUUGUAUGUCCUUGUUCUCUAAACGGAAUUGGUUAUGUUUAGUGAACAGUUAGGUGGUUCUCCAUGUGUUUAUAUACACAGACGAUCCCCGAAUUUGGAUGGUUCAACUUAAGAGUUUUCAAACUUACGAUGAUAUGAAAGUGAUAUACAUUUGAUACAUUCCUACAACUUACAAUGGGGUUAUGUCCCAUAAUUGUUUUGACUUAUGAUAUUUUCAACUUACAAUUGAUGGGUUUACUGAGACAUAACCCUCUUGUAACUUGAGGAGCAUGUGUAUAUUUGUACAUACAUGAUGGUGUGUGUUUAUACACAAAGGCCUGAAUAUACACACCAUGAGCAUUUGAAGGUCUUUGUCAAGGUUGUUUCUGUUUCUGAUCUCUUGCCUACUUUAAAACCCAAGAGGUAGAACAUUAUGCAUAUUACAGGCAAAACUAUGCUUGAGUUUAUAGCAAUGUAGUUUGUAGAAAGGAUUCCUGGAUGUUUUACUAAGCCUUUCCUCCUCCAUUCAACAUUAUAUGAAUUGUUAAGAACAUAUAAAGUACCACUGUUGAAUGUGACUUUUCUAUACUGUUAGUUAAGAAACCAAGACUAGUGUUAGCUGAGUAACUGGCAUGUUGAUGCAACCUAUACAGGUUUUGUAUUUAAUUAGGUUCCUUAUUCAGUUAUUCAAGUAUCCAGUUAUUUAGUUUCAAGGUAGAUUUCUUUGUUUUUAUAUUUAAUAAAAGACUUGCAUAUAAGUUCCUCUUCAUGAAAAUAGUGGCUAGGCUAGUGUGAUUUUAAGUAUGUCUGGCAACUCAAAAUGUAAUGGAUUCAUCAAGCUAUUUGGGAUUUUUAACAUAAAACACACUGCUGCUUGAUUAAUGUGUUCAGUUUUCCCCUGGAUAUUUGCUAUUAGGCUGAUAGCCAUUUGGUUGGAUUCUUCUGGAGAGUAAUUGAUUCUCUAAGGUAAUGGGGUGCUGCAGUGGGUGUAGCAUUCACCCAGGUCACUAGAAUCCUACCUGUUUCAUCACAUAGAAGGCCCUGGCCAUGGGGAAGAGUGAAUGCAGCUUCUCCGGAUGCCUUAUUUCCACAGACAUGCUGAUAUGCUGGAACAAUCUGGCUCCAGGAGUAUUAAUAUACUUUUUUGAGACUGUCUACAAAAUACUAUUUUGUAAAAACUAUGCCUUUACAUAGACAUUGAUAGGUUAUAUUUGUUUUAUAACAAUUGUGUACCUAAUGUUUGUGAUUAAUUUUGAGAUUUAUGUAUAUUUAUAAGCCUAUCUUAUGUAAAUUUUUACUCUAAGAUGUGUGGCACAUUACUAAUAAAGACGUGGAUUUCUAUUUAUGUAAAGUAAUUGUAGCAAUAUUCCUAGAUGCUACCUAAAUGAUUGUUCUGUCCAUUUGCCAUCACAAAUACUUUUAUCUUUGGAUGAUUAUGUUAGUCAGAAUAUAUUAAUUAGAUUUAAACUUUAAAAUAAGAAUUACAACAUAGUUUGAAAUUCUUCCUGUUGAUGUAAUUAAAGUUAGUUUAUAAUUCCUUA
rnacentral:lncRNA from 1 species